rnacentral:rRNA from 1 species
UGACAACAGAGUUUGAUCCUGGCUCAGAACGAACGCUGGCGGCAGGCUUAAUACAUGCAAGUCGAACGGCUGUAGCAAUACAGCAGUGGCAGACGGGUGAGUAACACGUGGGAACCUACCUAGGGGUACGGAAUAACUCAGGGAAACUUGUGCUAAUACCGUAUACGACCUCAGGGUGAAAGAUUUAUCGCCCCUAGAUGGGCCCGCGCUGGAUUAGCUAGUUGGUGGGGUAAAAGCCUACCAAGGCGACGAUCCAUAGCUGGUCUGAGAGGAUGAUCAGCCACACUGGGACUGUGACACGGCCCAGACUCCUACGGGAGGCAGCAGUAGGGAAUCUUGGACAAUGGGGGAAACCCUGAUCCAGCCAUCCCGCGUGUGCGAUGAAGGCCUUCGGGUUGUAAAGCACUUUUGGCAGGAAAGAAACGUCAUGGGUUAAUACCCCGUGAAACUGACGGUACCUGCAGAAUAAGCACCGGCUAACUUCGUGCCAGCAGCCGCGGUAAUACGAAGGGUGCAAGCGUUAAUCGGAAUUACUGGGCGUAAAGCGCGCGUAGGUGGUUUGGUAAGAUGGAUGUGAAAUCCCCGNGGCUCACCUGGGAACUGCAUCCAUAACUGCCUGACUAAAGUACGGUAGAGGGUGGUGGAAUUUCCUGUGUAGCGGUGAAAUGCGUAGAUAUAGGAAGGAACACCAGUGGCGA